CAUCGUUCUCAGGGCGGGGUGAAAUUCCCCACCGGCGGUAUACGGGCACGACCCGUAAGCCCGCGAGCGGCGUCUUAGUGCAGAUGCAUCCACAUCCCCAAAAGUGGGAACCGGUUUUGGGAUCAGAUGUGGAGCCAGCAAAGACGUGUCAGCAGAUCUGGUGAGAGGCCAGAGCCGACGGUGAAAGUCCGGAUGGAAGAGAACGUGC
rnacentral:ncRNA from 1 species